rnacentral:lncRNA from 1 species
CCCAAACUGGGUUAGAAAAGAUGCACAAAAAUGUCUCCUUUGAUUGCCUCGCUGCUGUUGAAGACCGAGAUACACUUCUCUUCUGGAUAUGCUUUGGGAUGAAUCUAGUUUCAUGUCCAUGGAUAGAAAUAAAAUAAUAUUCUAGGCCCAGGGAAACCUAUGAACAAAGGUACAGUGAUGUGGCCAUGCAUAGUCAGGGCACAGCAGAUUGUUGUUCAAGAAAUUAAGAGGAUUGGAAGUUUCACUAUGGCACUGCAGUAUAACGAUCCAGCAUUGCCAAAGUUGUGGCACAGGUCGCAACCAUGGCGUAGUUUCGAUCCCUGGCCUGGGAACUUCCAUAUGUCAGGGGUGCAGCCAAAAGAAAAAAAAAAAAAAAAGAAAAGAAGAGAAUUAUGAGGAUGGGAAUAACAUAUACACAGUUCUAUACAUAACAUCGAUAAUUAACAAGGACCUACUGUAAAGCCCAGGAAAAUCUAACCAAAAUUCUAUAAUAACCUAUAUGGGAAAAAAGAAUGGAUCUAUGUGUAUGUGUAACUGAUUCAAUUUGCUAUAUACCUGAACCUAACACAACAUUGUAAGUCAACUCUACUGCAAUAAAUUUUUUUUAAAAGAUAAAUCUUCACAGUCACCUUGAAAACUUCCAAUUCUGUUUUCUACAUUAAUUAAAAUUAGUCACAGAUAAUUCUUAUGAAAACCCCUUCAAAAGUUUCUGACUCUAGUGUGACUUGGUCUUAUCACAUUAGGACAAAAGAAAGGCUUUGUCAGUAUCCUCUAGGAGUUUGCAAUCUGAAGAGAAGAAAGAAGUAUUAAAUCAGGCCCACAUGAAUCAAGAAAGACAAAUGUUUUAAAUGUUAAGGUCAGUUUAUGGACUAUGGCAAAGUGUGGCAUUUACAGGAAAAUCUUGGGGGGAAGAAAAGAAAAACCACAGUAACCUACAUGAUCUCCCCAACUUCCUAGGGUAUCUGGGCCAAGUUCCAUAUUUGAUCAAAAGAAGUCCAAUUCACUAAUUUCUGCUCUUGGGAGAAUACAUGAAGAAGUAGGUGGGAAAAAAAACAAGAUAAAUUCUUCAUCUUCUUUUUCACAACUAGAAGAAAAAAAUAUAUAUAUUUAAUCCCAUCUGGGAACUGUAGCCAUUUUUCAAAAUCGAUUUUUAAAGACACGGUUGUCUUGUGUUUACCUUCCAGGUGUCUACUUUCUCAAGGUAACAAAAAGGUUCACAAGGAUUCUUAUCUCAGACUGAUAAACAGAUGCAAACAGAGCCAGACCUAUCUGGGCUACCACAAGGCCUGUUUGACUAAUUGCCCUGAUAGAUCAUUCUCCUGAUGCCCGAUGUUGUUAUUGCACCCAGCAUAGCUGAGAUAGCACAUGUUUAACCCCUGACCUUCCAGCUGCCUCCACCUCAUUGCUCUGGAACGAACCAGCCUCCAUCAUCACUUCCUCCCCAUGGCAGCCAGGGAAAGAGAUCUGUUUCUAAGCAAAUAGCAGAGGCUCUGACCCCGUCAUGAGUCACCAGUCUGUCCACCCACCUCCAAGAUUCCCCUUUUAUAUAUUUAUUCAGCUUGUCAGAGUUCCUGGCAAAGAGGAUAAUGAUAUUUGAGGUAAAUAGGAUUCAUGCUAACUCUGGGAACUGUAAUUCCAUAAAUCUGAGAUAUCCUACAUGGCUUCUAUAGGUUUCAUAUAUAUAUAAACAAAUCCAUUUCACCCUACCCCCUUGUAAGGUAAUUUUAAAGCAAAAAAAAUGAUAAAAGAGCAAAAGCCACAGAAGGAACAAAGGAAAACUAUGCCAGGGUCAUUUGUUCUAAUGUAGGGAAAUACCUAAUAAUUCUGUACCUUAGGGCACUAAUUUAAAUUACUGUAAGACAGGCGAAAUACUAUUACUAACAUCAGAACUGAGAAGCAAAUGUAUUUUAUCUCAGAUAGGUCAUCUUUCUUUUAUUACAUGCUUCACACAUCUUAUUCACAGGACAUACACUGAUCAAGUUUUAACAGAUACUGCCAACACAUGGUAAUUCAGCUGCUGACAGUCCUGGCUGAGCAUUGCUGUGAAAAAAUUUCACAUUACACAACAUUAUAGAAACAUUAAAUGGGAAUAACACCCUGGCAAGUGAUAGUUUUUACGACCAGUUUUUUUGUUAAUUAAUGAAAUUAUGCUGUCUUUACAGAGAGGCAGAAAAUAUAUGGAGAAAAAGAAAAGCAUAACCAUUGUGAAGUAUAUUUGCAUUUCUGUGAAUUUUCUUUCAAUAUCUCAAACUUAAAUAGACAUGUAAUAUUAUAGGCUAUAGCACCGGGAAAAAAAGAUUCACUUUGGUACAUACUGCGUUUCAGUUUUCACUCAAUGAUUUAACAUAGAAUCAAAGCACUAUGGCUAAAUUAUAAAAAAUGCUUCUAUCUUCCCAACAUUUUUUUCAGCCAGGUCUUUAGAUUUGUAAAAACUUUUCAACCAAAAGGAAAAAAGCAUAUUUGUCUUGUAAAAUCAAUUGCUGAAUGCUAAUAUUAUCAAUCAUUAUUAUCCUUCCCACAUAAUAAACUGAUUUUUUUCCUCUGUCCAUAAAGAAAGCCUGAAUGCAAUGCUUGAAGUAUUGAGUGGCUUGACAAGACAUUGAAUAUGCCCAAGGGACAAAAAAGAUAAACAAGCUAAGAUAUGUAAGUCUUUGGGUUUGCUUUGAAGGAGAACAUGAGACAGAAGAGGACUUCACUGUCAGAUGGUCUUGGUUUAGUCUCAUGUAGGCAGCUUCAAGCCUAUUUUUCUGAAUCCCAGUUUUCUCUUGAAUGAAUUAACAUAGCUAUUCUAACCAGCCUUUUCUGAAGUUCAAAUAGUGUAAAGUGCCUGGCACAGUGACUAGAAUUGAAGAAGAACAAAUACUUGAUUGAUUCAAAGCCCCUUCCUGCCCUUUCUUAUAAAACUGACCAGUGACUCUACUCCAAUUUAUCUUCAAGCUACUUUGAGAAUAAUUUAGCUGAACUCACAUGAGUUUUAGGAACUGUGCCCCCUUGACAGAUAGCUUAUCUUCUGAAAGGACACUAAUGCUAAACAUUAGCAAGUAUUGUUCCAUUGAAAAAUAUAAGGACACUUAGAUAAAUUUCUGGAAGAAAAGACAGACGUUAAAUCCCUUUUGUUUGUUAG